rnacentral:rRNA from 1 species
GGUGAAUGCUGGCGGCGUGGAUAAGUCAUGCAAGUCAAGGGGGCCCGCAAGGGCAACCGGCAAACGAGGUAGUAACACGUAGGUAGACCCCCCCAGAGUCGGGCAUAGCCAGCCGAAAGGUUGGGUAAUUCCCGAUAGUCCCGAAAGGGUAAAGGUUUUUCGUCUCUGGGAGUUGCCUGCGUAGUAUCAGCUAGUUGGUAGGGUAAUGGCCUACCAAGGCUACGACGCUUAGGGGAGCUGAGAGGCUGACCCCCACCGAUGGAACUGCGACACGGUCCAUACUCCUACGGGAGGCUGCAGACGAGAAUAUUCCGCAAUGGGCGAAAGCCUGACGGAGCGACGCCGCGUGAUUGAUGAAGUGCUUCGGUACGUAAAGAUCUUUUAUCGGGGGACGAAGUUUAUUGACGGUACCCGAUGAAUAAGGGGCUCCUAACUCUGUGCCAGCAGCCGCGGUAAU